CAGUAGCCGCGGUAAUACGAAGGGUGCAAGCGUUACUCGGAAUUACUGGGCGUAAAGCGUGCGUAGGUGGUGGUAUAAGUCCGUUGUGAAAGCCCCGGGCUCAACCUGGGAAUUGCAGUGGAUACUGGGUCACUAGAGUGUGGUAGAGGAUAGUGGAAUUUCCGGUGUAGCAGUGAAAUGCGUAGAGAUCGGAAGGAACAUCUGUGGCGAAGGCGACUAUCUGGGCCAACACUGACACUGAGGCACGAAAGCGUGGGGAGCAAACAGGAUUAGAUACCCCCGUAGUCCCUGUCUCUUAUAC
rnacentral:rRNA from 1 species